ensembl:lncRNA
UUUCUAUGUGGAGAUUGCUCCUCUUGCAGCCCUUCUGUGAGCCCAGGACACAGACCUUGGGCUUGAACAGUGACUGUUUCAGCACUUCUAAUUUGGAUCUGCCAGCCUCUCUAUUUUUGUUUCAAUAUUACUUUCUGCUUCAAUCAGUAGCUAUAAAUGUGCCCUUUCCAUAGUAAUGCAUUGGAAAGGGUUUUCCUUCAAUGAUUUGAUUUCCAACUGCAGUGAUCCUGAGAUGUACUGAGAUUAAACUGCAUUUUUCAAAUAUUCCAGAAUGUUGCUAAAGAGACUGAAAAACAUUGUUCAGCAUUCUUUUAAGGUACAUUUCUCUGUUUCAGUCUUCACCUGUUCACUGUGAUAAGUUGCUUCACUCCAUGUUGCUUAUUAAGCAUAAUGCCACUUGUAAUUUCUAGUUCAAAAGACAAGAAAUACAAUCUAAACACUUUUGGAAGUUGCUGCUCUUGUUGUGCCUACUCUAGCAUGAUACUGAACAGCAAGCUGUGUUCUUAAUUUCAGAAUUAAAUAGAAACAACUGCCAGUUUUGACGUUGUUAUUGCAUGUGUCUUCCUUAUAGUUUCCCUUAUCUAUGUACUAUUCAUUGUGAAGUUGAUCAAAGUUAGUAUUUUUCUUUUAGCUUCUUUGUCUGUAAGUCAUCUUUCUGUAUGUCAGACAAUUUGCUUCAAGGUAAGGCAGUCAGAAGGAAGUAGAAGCAAAGAUUUGUGUUCAGUUUUGGAAUAAAACCCCGAAUUAUUAUGGGUUUCUGUGGAAGGAGAAAAAACACUUUUAAAUAGAAUAUUUCCUUUCCAGAUGUCUCCAAACUAAAAUUAUGGUAUAGGGUGAGUAUCAGCUUACUCAGAUCAUCUAGAAAUCCUGUGUCCCUCAAUCCUAUUGGACUGCUUGUGAGCUGGUUUAAGAUAUUUAUGAACUGCAGCUACAUUGAACAGUUUUGGCAUUCUAGUGAUGUUAUGAAUAAACUCCAGAAAGUACAUAAGAAAUUCCUGAGAUCUGCUGAUAUAGGAUGUAAUUUUCAGCAUUUUUAGUAUGUCCAUAUUAAUAAAUGAAAUAGGAUCAGGUUAUGAUUUUAAGAUUUGGGUUUGCAGUUUUCCGUGUUAACUCAGCAUGCUCUCUGGCACAGGUUUGGCCUGUGGUUUUGCAUGUUUCAAACAAUAGCAUGCGCCAAGUAAUAUGGUAUGCUAGUAUGGAUAUCCAUCCAUUUCUAGGAAAAAAGUUACCUAUAUGGAUGUGAGCCUUGCUGUGGUGCUGACAUCAGGACCAGAGGACAGAUUCUGUUUUCCCAUUAAGUCAUAGCACAAAGUUUUCUUUUGUCUUCCCAAGUCUGUCUUAUGGAGCUGACAGGUUUGGGCUGUCAGAAAAUAGGCUACAGUUGGACAGUCUUCUAGACUUCUUGCUCCACGGUGCAAAACCUCAAACCCCAGGACAGAUUACUGAAGUUUUGCCUGCACAGAAGCCUUCAAAGGAGACACUGGAAACUACCUUGUGCUUCCUGAGAAGCUGAAAUUGAUUCUCAGUCUACUGAAAUUGAUGGCUGUUGUUUGUUUAAUUAAGCUAUUUUGCUUUCAUAAUUUGUUUUGCAAAGGAACUUCUGCUUCACUUCGCAAUUCCAAACAACAUCAUCAGUAAUCUCAUGGGACUCAUACUAGGAGUGAGAUUAUUGCCUUUGUAAAAUCUCUGUGCUCUUUUGACUCCUAUAUGUGUGUGUGUAUGUAUAUAUAUGUAGAGAGAGAAAGUGCCAAAAACAAGUCAACUUCAUGGAUGAUGAUUGUUUUAAUGUAGAUAUGAGACUGCUUGUCAUCAUCUGUGUCAUCAGCUGUGGAAAAGCUCAUCUGAUGGUAGAAGGUAAUUUGUCUAGGUCAAAUGAGCAAGAAGAGAACAGAACAAAUUAGACCUUGCUCAACAUUGCAGGGGUAAUCCCAUUUGUAGCACUAAAAACUGUACUGAAUAUGUGUUUAUUUAGGGUAAUCCAGUAGAACUGUUAUAACACUGUAAAUAGUGAUGUAAUGGAAGUGAGGAAUUUUUCUAAAGUAGCAGAAGUUCUGUAUCAGUCUACUAUAACAAAAAAAUAAAAAUAAUUUAAACUAAUG